CACAACCCAGUCUCACCUGACUAACACCUGGAGGAAGGUGAACAGUGAACACACAGUUGACAAAUCAGGAUCUGUGCCAUAGAGAACAGACCUCAGGCCACAGUGGGCCAAGGCGGGAGACCACUCCCGCCUACCACUUGAAGCUACCACAAUGGAGAGGUUCUAAAUUUGUCCAGAAGCAGAGACUGCAGGUCUGCUGAUGGGCUGGACGAGUCUGAAGAGGAGUCGGGAUACACGGUUUGAACUUCUCCUGGCACCAUCCAUGUCCUGGAUAGGAAGAGGAGAGGAGGCCAGCCUAUGCUGCAUCCACAGUGCUCCGUUGUGGCGAGGCGAGCUGUCCAGGGGGGCUCCCCGCCGCCCCAAAGAGGUCCUGCUGACACUGCCCCUGAGGAGUGAGGCGCCUGCACUUGGGGGUCACUGCACAUUGCUCUCCCUCCUGUCGGGUUACACUGGUGGGUUCUGUCCACCCUUAGCCAGGAUGGAAGGCCUCGGCUGGAACUGGAAACUGGAGGUUCUCGUCUGUCCCAGGGCUGAGUGGAGCCCAGAGAAAGAGCCCACGAGGAAUUGUGACAUGUCACACUGGGUACACGUGUCCAAAGCCCUUUGAGAUGUCUCUUCCCAGAAACCAGAGGCCCAGGUACAAAGAAGGUUGGCAAGGGGGCUGAACACAUGGGGUCUCGUCUGGACAUCUGUCCUUCAGCCUGCUAUGUCCACUGAACUUGCUGCAUGACCCCAAAAUGAAGAUUUAGGCCACCAACUGGAGCAGGCUGUGACAGCCUGGCACCAGAAGGUCUUCACCUGAUGGAUGUUGGAUUCAUUUAUUGGUAUUUUUAGUAUUUUUUUUACUUCUGAUGUGAAACUCAACGUCUCUAUGUGGUGGAGACCUGCACACGGAGGAGAAGUGUGUAGACACGGGAGCCCAUAACCUGCCUCCCCGAGGUGGACUGGCGGCCUGGGCAUUUUGGACCCCACCUGCCAUGAGUGUCAAGAGGGCUGAGUCUGUGACUUUGUCGCGGGUGGGUGUCUACCAGGGCUUUCCUGCUGCUUUCUCUCCAAGAAUGAAGUCAUCUGCACUUUUCUCAUUGAACUCUCUUCGUGAACGUCGUCUUAAUGGCUACGCUGAAGUUUUAACUUUCCUAUUGUGAAGUCUGAUGCGUUUAUAACAUUGUUUAUCUAAUUUUUUUGGCAGUACUGGGGUUUGAACUCUGGGCCUCAGGCUUGCGAGGCAGGCUCUCUACCACUUGAGCCACCCUGCCAGCCUGAGCUACAACACAUCUGUGCGUUUCUUUUCUUGAGGCAUAUUUAUAAUUGUGUCUUUGGGAGAGAUUCCUAGAAAUUAUGACUAUAAUUCCCUCCAAAUGGGCUCACUGGCACCUCACCCUCCACGACCCCCAUGGAACAGAACCGAUUUUAUCCUGUCCUCACCAGUAGUGCAUCUUUGAUGCUUUCAGAACAAAAAAGCAUCUCUUUUAUAAAACUGGGCAUUUUGUGUAUGAAGACUGAAUUCUUGUUAUUCAACGUGUCAUCAAUUUUUUUUGACAAUUUGAUCUCAGGGUCUUGCGCUUGUCAAGCAGGCACCUUACCACUUGAGCCGUGUCCCCAGCACUUUUUGCUCUAAGUAUUUUUUUGCAAAUAGGGUCUGACAUUGAGGCUGAGCUGGCCUGGGCUCUGGUCCUCCUAUUUUUGCUUCCUGUGUAGCUUGGAUCGCAGGCAUGUGCCACCAUACCCAGCUUUAUUGUCUGAGAUGGAGGUUCUUGUGAAUUAUUUUCCUGGAUGGCCUCAAACCUGGAUCCUCCCAGUCUUUGCCUCCUGAGUAAGGAGGGUUACAGGUGUGAGCCACUGUGCCCAGCAUCAAUGUAUCGAUUCUUUUUGGAUUGACAAAUUGUAUUUCUCCAUUUACUCUCAAUUCAAAGCUUUCAUUUAGCAGUUCCGUCAAUUAUUUUUUCUAUUUUAUAUGCUCUGUUCAUUUGGGUGUACAUACUUAAUUAUAAUUUAAUAAUAUGUGCACUGAUAUUUUAUCCUCAGUCGAUACCUGGUUUUUCUUUAUUUCUUGGUUGGUAGUUUAUAGUUUAAUUCUUCUCUGGCAUUUUCUUGCCCACACUGGGGUGCUGCUUCUUGACACGCUCAUGGCCAUGUCCACUGAGAGCCCCCUGGGCACAGGGCAUUUUGUCUCAUUGACCUAUCAGCAUACCAGUGCCAUGCUGAUUUAAUUCUUGUUGUUUUGUUAUAUGUUUUAAAACUGAGCUGGUUCAUUCUGUAUAAUAAAGUAUGCUGCUUACUUGAAAUAAA
rnacentral:lncRNA from 1 species